rnacentral:rRNA from 1 species
GACGAACGCUGGCGGCGUGCUUAACACAUGCAAGUCGAACGCUGAAGCUCAGCUUUUGUUGGGUGGAUGAGUGGCGAACGGGUGAGUAACACGUGAGUAACCUGCCCCCUUCUUUGGGAUAACGCCCGGAAGCGGGUGCUAAUACUGGAUAUUCACUGGUCUUCGCAUGGGGGUUGGUGGAAAGGGUUUUUCUGGUGGGGGAUGGGUUCGCGGCCUAUCAGCUUGUUGGUGGGGUGAUGGCCUACCAAGGCUUUGACGGGUAGCCGGCCUGAGAGGGUGACCGGUCACAUUGGGACUGAGAUACGGCCCAGACUCCUACGGGAGGCAGCAGUGGGGAAUAUUGCACAAUGGGCGCAAGCCUGAUGCAGCGACGCCGCGUGAGGGAUGGAGGCCUUCGGGUUGUGAACCUCUUUCGCUCAUGGUCAAGCCGCAACAAUGGUUGUGGUGAGGGUAGUGGGUAAAGAAGCGCCGGCUAACUACGUG